rnacentral:rRNA from 1 species
ACGGCUCAGUAACACGUAGUCAACCUACCUUAUGGACGAGGAUAAUCUCGGGAAACUGAGGAUAAUACUCGAUAGACCAUUAUGCCUGGAACGGUUUAUGGUUAAAAUGAUUCAUCGCCAUAGGAUGGGACUGCGGCCUAUCAGCUUGUUGGUGAGGUAAUGGCCCACCAAGGCGAUUACAGGUACGGGCUCUGAGAGGGGUAGCCCGGAGAUGGGUACUGAGACACGGACCCAGGCCCUAUGGGGCGCAGCAGGCGAGAAAACUUUGCAAUGUGCGAAAGCACGACAAGGUUAAUCCGAGUGAUUUGUGCUAAACGAAUCUUUUGUUAGUCCUAGAAACACUAACGAAUAAGGGGUGGGCAAGUUCUGGUGUCAGCCGCCGCGGUAAAACCAGCACCUCAAGUGGUCAGGAUGAUUAUUGGGCCUAAAGCAUCCGUAGCCGGCUCUGUAAGUUUUCGGUUAAAUCUGUACGCUUAACGUACAGGCUGCCGGGAAUACUGCAGAGCUAGGGAGUGGGAGAGGUAGACGGUACUCGGUAGGAAGUGGUAAAAUGCUUUGAUCUAUCGAUGACCACCUGUGGCGAAGGCGGUCUACCAGAACACGUCCGACGGUGAGGGAUGAAAGCUGGGGGAGCAAACCGGAUUAGAUACCCGGGUAGUCCCAGCUGUAAACUAUGCAAACUCAGUGAUGCAUUGGCUUGUGGCCAAUGCAGUGCUGCAGGGAAGCCGUUAAGUUUGCCGCCUGGGAAGUACGUACGCAAGUAUGAAACUUAAAGGAAUUGGCGGGGGAGCAC